rnacentral:misc_RNA from 1 species
GCGAGUUAUUCAACUCCCAACCCUUUGUGAACUUACUAUUGUUGCCUCGGCGGGACCUACCCUGUAGCUACCCUGUAGCGACCGAGUACCCCGCCGGUGGAAUCUUAAACUCUUGUUAUUUAAUGGAAAUCUGAGCGUAUUAUUUUAAUAAGUUA